rnacentral:rRNA from 1 species
GACGAACGCGGCGGCGUGCUAAUACAUGCAAGUAGAACGCUGAAGAGAGGAGCUUGCUCUUCUUGGAUGAGUUGCGAACGGGUGAGUAACGCGUAGGUAACCUGCCUUGUAGCGGGGGAUAACUAUUGGAAACGAUAGCUAAUACCGCAUAACAAUGGAUGACACAUGUCAUUUAUUUGAAAGGGGCAAUUGCUCCACUACAAGAUGGACCUGCGUUGUAUUAGCUAGUAGGUGAGGUAACGGCUCACCUAGGCGACGAUACAUAGCCGACCUGAGAGGGUGAUCGGCCACACUGGGACUGAGACACGGCCCAGACUCCUACGGGAGGCAGCAGUAGGGAAUCUUCGGCAAUGGGGGCAACCCUGACCGAGCAACGCCGCGUGAGUGAAGAAGGUUUUCGGAUCGUAAAGCUCUGUUGUAAGUCAAGAACGAGUGUGAGAGUGGAAAGUUCACACUGUGACGGUAGCUUACCAGAAAGGGACGGCUAACUACGUGCCAGCAGCCGCGGUAAUACGUAGGUCCCGAGCGUUGUCCGGAUUUAUUGGGCGUAAAGCGAGCGCAGGCGGUUUGAUAAGUCUGAAGUUAAAGGCUGUGGCUCAACCAUAGUUCGCUUUGGAAACUGUCAAACUUGAGUGCAGAAGGGGAGAGUGGAAUUCCAUGUGUAGCGGUGAAAUGCGUAGAUAUAUGGAGGAACACCGGUGGCGAAAGCGGCUCUCUGGUCUGUAACUGACGCUGAGGCUCGAAAGCGUGGGGAGCGAACAGG